CGGGGUCCAGCCACAGCUGUUCGAGCCACAGACUCGACAUAACUCCUAGGUUCUGCAAAAUGUAAAGGAAUACCAUUAAACUGAGCAGGAGAAAUCAGGCAGCCAGACAACCUGGCCCAGACCACAGGCCCAGCCCUAAAGUCUGCAGUGCAGGACGUGCGGAAGGUCCCUCCCCGUGAUUCUAAGACAUCAAGAUUAGUGCCGUACAUGAGAGCCUUUUCUACCCCAAUCCCUCCACCCCCCAAUACCCACAUGGAUCCCAGUUCCCCAUCCACAAACAGUCCUGAGAAUCUACAAAGGGGACCGGAGCCUGAACGAGAGAAAGACCCUCUUACCCCUGAGGAGGAACCGGAGAGACCCUUCCAGUUCCACUCUACAAUCAAAUAUUUGAAUCAGCUCUGAAGAGACAACAGGCUGAAGUGAUUGAGAGGGCCAACCCAACUCAGGAAGGCAUUUCCCCGUGUUCUGAGACAUCAGAUAACAUAAUUCACCCAGCCCCCUCCAUGCUGCAGCGUGCUCAGGUUGUUCCCUCUCUGUGCCUCGAUCCCUGAUCCUACACCUCUCCUUCCUGACCACAAAGUGGAAAGGUCAGUGAGGUCUGGAUUCCAGUCUCCUCCACAUUUUCAUUUGCCAUUUUGAUGUACCUUAAGGACCACUGAACCUCAUCAUCUGCCCUGUCAGCCCUCUAUGUGUUUUGUCUCUCUGUAUCAGAAUGCAAGCUCUCUGAGAAAGAGCUAUCCAUUUUGCUAUCCAUUUCUCCAGCCCUUACCAUGGGGCUUGGUACAUAAUAAAAGCUUAAUACAUU